rnacentral:rRNA from 1 species
CCUACGGGCGGCUGCAGUGGGGAAUAUUGCACAAUGGGCGCAAGCCUGAUGCAGCCAUGCCGCGUGUGUGAAGAAGGCCUUCGGGUUGUAAGGCACUUUCAGCGGGGAGGAAGGCGUUAAGGUUAAUAACCUUGGCGAUUGACGUUACCCGCAGAAGAAGCACCGGCUAACUCCGUGCCAGCAGCCGCGGUAAUACGGAGGGUGCAAGCGUUAAUCGGAAUUACUGGGCGCAAAGCGCACGCAGGCGGUCUGUCAAGUCGGAUGUGAAAUCCCCGGGCUCAACCUGGGAACUGCAUUCGAAACUGGCAGGCUAGAGUCUUGUAGAGGGGGGUAGAAUUCCAGGUGUAGCGGUGAAAUGCGUAGAGAUCUGGAGGAAUACCGGUGGCGAAGGCGGCCCCCUGGACAAAGACUGACGCUCAGGUGCGGAAGCGUGGGGAGCAAACAGGAUUAGAUACCCUAGUAGUC